rnacentral:rRNA from 1 species
UACGAAGGGGGCUAGCGUUGCUCGGAAUCACUGGGCGUAAAGCGCACGUAGGCGGAUUGUUAAGUCAGGGGUGAAAUCCUGGAGCUCAACUCCAGAACUGCCUUUGAUACUGGCGAUCUCGAGUCCGGGAGAGGUGAGUGGAACUGCGAGUGUAGAGGUGAAAUUCGUAGAUAUUCGCAAGAACACCAGUGGCGAAGGCGGCUCACUGGCCCGGUACUGACGCUGAGGAGCGAAAGCCAGGGGAGCAAACGGG